rnacentral:rRNA from 1 species
GACUUAUAUUCUGUAGCAAGGUUAACCGAAUAGGGGAGCCGGAGGGAAACCGAGUCUUAAUUGGGCGUUAAGUUGCAGGGUAUAGACCCGAAACCCGGUGAUCUAGCCAUGGGCAGGUUGAAGGUUGGGUAACACUAACUGGAGGACCGAACCGACUAAUGUUGAAAAAUUAGCGGAUGACCUGUGGCUGGGGGUGAAAGGCCAAUCAAACCGGGAGAUAGCUGGUUCUCCCCGAAAGCUAUUUAGGUAGCGCCUCGUGAAUUCAUCUCCGGGGGUAGAGCACUGUUUCGGCUAGGGGGCCAUCCCGGCUUACCAACCCGAUGCAAACUGCGAAUACCGGAGAAUGUUAUCACGGGAGACACACGGCGGGUGCUAACGUCCGUCGUGAAGAGGGAAACAACCCAGACCGCCAGCUAAGGUCCCAAAGUCAUGGUUAAGUGGGAAACGAUGUGGGAAGGCCCAGACAGCCAGGAUGUUGGCUUAGAAGCAGCCAUCAUUUAAAGAAAGCGUAAUAGCUCACUGGUCGAGUCGGCCUGCGCGGAAGAUGUAACGGGGCUAAACCAUGCACCGAAGCUGCGGCAGCGACACUGUGUGUUGUUGGGUA